CAAUGAUUCUUAGUGGCGAACGGGUGAGUAACGCGUAGACAACCUGCCUUCUAGAUGGGGACAACACUGCGAAAGUGGUGCUAAUACCGAAUGUUGCAUUAAGCCUGCAUGGGCUUGAUACUAAAGGUGGCCUCUAUUUAUAAGCUAUCACUAGAAGAUGGGUCUGCGUCUGAUUAGCUAGUUGGUGAGGUAAUGGCUCACCAAGGCGAUGAUCAGUAGCCGGUCUGAGAGGAUGAACGGCCACACUGGGACUGAGACACGGCCCAGACUCCUACGGGAGGCAGCAGUGGGGAAUCUUCCGCAAUGGACGAAAGUCUGACGGAGCAACGCCGCGUGAGUGAAGAAGGUUUUCGGAUCGUAAAGCUCUGUCUUUGAGGACGAAUGUGUCUAAUGUGAAUAAUGUUAGAUAAUGACGGUACUCGAGGAGGAAGCCACGGCUAACUACGUGCC
rnacentral:rRNA from 1 species